rnacentral:misc_RNA from 1 species
GGAAGUAAAAGUCGUAACUAGGUUUCCGUAGGUGAACCUGCGGAAGGAUCAUUACAGAGUUCAUGCCCUCACGGGUAGAUCUCCCACCCUUGAAUAUUUACACCUUAGUUGCUUUGGCAGGCCGUGGAAACACCAUGGGCUCCGGCUUAUGCGUGCCUGCCAGAGGAAACAAACUCUGUUUUUAGUGAUGUCUGAGUACUAUAUAAUAGUUAAAACUUUCAACAACGGAUCUCUUGGUUCUG